GCUCCUGUAACUUAGUGGUUAAAGCGUCCGCCUCGGAUGCGGGAGGUCGUGGGUUCAAACCCCGGCCGAGUCA